UAUACAGAUCUCAGAAAACAGUAUUUUAAAUUUUAAGUUGUUGGCAACACUGGCUGUCAACAAAAAGAUAACCUCUCAUAAUAUUCCAGGCUUCCAGGGUGCUUCCAGCGCUUGAUCAACAUGGCAAAAGAUAAGAUAAAUAAAUUAAUAAAAGAAAUAAUCGAAAUGCAAGAACACCGGCAAGAUAGCAAAACUAACAUGCAUCUUAAGAACGUUAGAGUGGUCUUCAGCGGCCAAGAAUAUUACGCAAACGUAGAAAUAACUAAGGAGGCAAUAAUCAUCAAGCCACAUGAUGAAGAAAUACCAGUAACUUACUUUUUGCCAGUGCACUUGCGUGGAUAUAGUGAAGUGGACAAUAGGGGUUUAAUAAUAAACCAACGUUUCAAUAGGCCCUCAUACAGAUUAUAUUUUCGGACACCACCACAAUGUGCAAGAGCUCUUAAAAGAAUAAGGGUUGUCACUGGGGAAGAAUCAACCUCAGAAUCUUCAGAAAACUAAACUAAAAAUUGUUAAUUAUGCUACAGCAUAAUUUUGUAUUAUUUUUCCAAGUGUUAUGUUUUGGAUAACUAAUAAAAAUUAUUAAUGAAC